UACGUAGGGGGCGAGCGUUAUCCGGAAUUACUGGGCGUAAAGCGCACGCAGGCGGUUCGCCAAGUUUGGAGUGACAGUUGUCGGCUCAACCGACAAAGGACUUCAAAAACUGGUGAACUUGAGGACGAGAGAGGAACAUGGAACUCCAGGUGUAGUAGUGAAAUGCGUAGAUAUCUGGAAGAACACCAAUGGCGAAGGCGGCUUCCUGGUCUGCGACUGACGCUGUGGCGCGAAAGCUAGGGGAGCAAACGGG
rnacentral:rRNA from 1 species